UCAGGAGACCUCAAGGAAGCUUCUGGUUGACUCCUGCAUUGCUGGGGGGAAAGGGGUCUGUGUGGACCCCGGUGGGCAGGCUCAAAGGUGAGUGAGCACGUCCUCAGAACGAUUACAGCGCCUCUGGCCGCCUCCCGGGGCUGCCAGAGCCAAGUGCCACAGACAGGCUGGCUUCGAGCAACGGAAAUUUAGUCUCUCACAGGUCAGGAGGCCAGAAGUCCAAGAUCGAGGUGUCGGCAAGUUGGGGCCCUCCUGAAGGCUCUGAGGAAUAAUGUCUUCUAUGUUUCUUGGCUUCUUGGCGGUUCUGGGGAAUCUUUGACAUUCCUUGGCUUGUGGGACCGUCACUCUGAUCUCUGACUACAUCUCCUUGUGGCCUCUGUGUCUCUCCUCCUCCUAUGAGGACCCCAGUCCUUGGACAUGGGGCCCACCAUAAUCCGGUACGACUUCCUCCUACCUUAAUGACCUCUGUGAAAACCCUAUUCCCAAAUAAGAUCCUGUUCUGAGGUCCCAUGUGGACAUGAACUUGAGGGGGGAACGGAAUACUAUUUAACCCAUGAGAGUGCUUUGAUCUCUGUUAUUCUUCACAGCACCUGGAUUCUCAUUGUAUAGGCGAGAGAACAGAAACUCAGAGAACCUGACUGGCUUUGCCCGAAUUCCCAGAGUCAGGAAAGACAGAGCUGGCAUGUGAACCAGGACCCUGGCUCCAAGCCCAGGGCAGUCGCUGUCACAUUGGUGCUGCCCUCUACAGUGUAUAGAGCCCUCCUUCCAGAGUCAUUAGCUCUGGGUAAGACAGUCACACUUAGGGUGUUAGCUGCCUAGUUUCCAGAUGAGGAAACUGAGGCCAAAGGCCGUUGGAGGGGGGUGAGGGGUUGGCCAAGAUCACACAGCGAGUAGGUGGCGUGGUGGGGCCUCAAGGCCUGGCCUCCAAAUUUCUCCACCUACAAUGAAAUGUUACCUCUCAGCGUCGGGCACAUGAAGGGAACCAGACACAAAAGGCACGUGGUGUUAUGAUUCCAUCCGAACGAAAUGUUCAGAAGAGGCAAGUCUGGAGAUGGGAAGGUUAGUGGCUCCCGGAGGUGGGGGGAGGCAAUGCUGGGGGAUUUCAUGCUGGGGUGAUGAGCAUGUUCUGGAACUAGAGAACAGUGACCACACAGCUCUGGGGGUAAGUGGAACCCACUGGAAUGGGUGAGCUGUCUGGCUCGUGAGUCAUAUCUCGAUAAAGCUGCUACGGAGAACAUCUCAGGAUGAGAAAACGUAGGCUCCGAAAGGAUCGGUGAGAUGCUCCAGACCACACGACAAAUAGGAGCCCCGGCCAGAACCGGGACUGGAAUCCAACCCAGGUCUGCCUCAUCCCAAGCCUCGGCUCCUAAACGCUGCUCUUUCGGGGUAUAGCCCCUCUACGGUUGUAUUUGUGUGAAGACACGUCAUUGGAUACAGAGUGAAGGAUAAGAGCUGGCAGGUGGUCAAGGGAUACACAAUCACAAGAGCUUAGACACCGCUGUUCUGCAGGACAGAAGCCCUAAAGUGGGCUGAGCGGAAAUAAUGGCCUUCUCGCUGCCUCUUGAUUGCAGUGUCCUCACAAAACUAAGGUUUUCGGGAACCGUGACAUGAAAAACCUCUGCAAAAACUACUGCAAAAAAACUCCUCGACCGUUUAUUAAGUUGUAUGGAAAAGACACAUGUUUACACACUUCAUCCAUUUCUCAUUGUUUGUGAAUUGCUCCCUCCUUACAAUGUAACAGCUCUCUGGGUCUUUCACAGGACAAUGUUCUUUAUCACAGUGUUAAAACAACCCACUGGGCGGCUGCCCUCCUGCAGACUGAUGGCUCCUCAGGCCACGGGAGGACCCCUAAGUGACCAUUAGGUGUCCAGAGCUAAAUGACCAUUAGGUGCCCAUCACACACCCGCUGAUGGAUGAGUGCUACACAUUUGCGAAGCACAGCCUCCUUUUUAUUCCACUCACAGUCUGCGCGUGGUUUAACUCCGUUAAAAUGUUAAACCCUU